rnacentral:rRNA from 1 species
CGGGUGAGUAACGCGUGAGGAACCUGCCUCAAAGAGGGGGACAACAGUUGGAAACGACUGCUAAUACCGCAUAAGCCCACGGUGCCGCAUGGCACAGAGGGAAAAGGAGCAAUCCGCUUUGAGAUGGCCUCGCGUCCGAUUAGCUAGUUGGUGAGGUAAUGGCCCACCAAGGCGACGAUCGGUAGCCGGACUGAGAGGUCGAACGGCCACAUUGGGACUGAGACACGGCCCAG